rnacentral:rRNA from 1 species
UACAGAGGUCUCAAGCGUUGUUCGGAUUCAUUGGGCGUAAAGAGCUCGUAGGCGGUCUGUCGCGUCGGAUGUGAAAGCCCGGGGCUUAACCCCGGGUCUGCAUUCGAUACGGGCAGACUAGAGUGUGGUAGGGGAGAUCGGAAUUCCUGGUGUAGCGGUGAAAUGCGCAGAUAUCAGGAGGAACACCGGUGGCGAAGGCGGAUCUCUGGGCCAUUACUGACGCUGAGGAGCGAAAGCGUGGGGAGCGAACAGG